UACGUAGGGGGCAAGCGUUGUCCGGAUUUAUUGGGCGUAAAGAGCGUGUAGGCGGCCAGACAGGUCCGUUGUGAAAACUCGAGGCUCAACCUCGAGACGUCGACGGAAACCGUCUGGCUAGAGUCCGGAAGAGGAGUGUGGAAUUCCUGGUGUAGCGGUGAAAUGCGUAGAGAUCAUGAGGAAGACCAGUGGCGAAGGCGGGUCUCUGGACAGUUCCUGACACUGAGACACGAAGGCCAGGGGAGCAAACGGG
rnacentral:rRNA from 1 species